ensembl:rRNA 5S_rRNA 5S ribosomal RNA
ACAGUCUCCCAUCACCAUAGUAGCCUGAGGGUGACAUAGCAGCCUGAGGGUUCCCCAGCCCAGAAGCUAAGCAGGGUCAGGCCUGACUUGUGCUUGAAUGGGGGACCACGUGGAAAGACUGGGACUGGAGGCUUUU